CUGUGGAAGAUCUUUUUCCAGUUCUUGCUGGAAUGCAGACAGUUUUCAGAUGAUUAAAGGCUCAACAAAAGAUUUGAGAUAAGCGAAUUCCUUCGAGAUGGCAAGCCAGGGGCCUGGACCUAAAGCAAUAUAGGUUAAGGUUUAGCUCUUUAGGGAGGAAACAAAGCUGCUGGGCCUCGAAGAGAACAGAGAAGAAUCUGAAAUGGUGGUGGCAAAAGGGGGAAGGAAUUAUUAAUUCAUUUAUUUAAAAACUGAUAUGCCAUUUUCUUCCUCAGAAAGAAAUGCAAAGCUGGAUAAAAGAACAAAAUAGUCCUACGAUAAAACCAGCUCCACAAAAUGCAUUAAGCAGCCACAGAGGAGAAGGGACACACACAUUUUUUGCUUAGGCAAGCCUACCCAGACAUGAAGAAGCUACAUGUGUUUCAUUUUAGCCACUGUUGAUUUUAAUCACUUUUGGAAUAUUUUUAAACACCCGUCCAAAGUUAAAGGUAAAGGGACCCCUGACCAUUAGGUCCAGUCGUGGCCAACUCUGGGGUUGUGGCGCUCAUCUUGCUUUACUGGCCGAGGAAGCCGGCGUACAGCUUCCGGGUCAUGUGGCCAGCAUGACUAAGCCGCUUCUGGCGAACCAGAGCAGCGCAUGGAAACGCCGUUUACCUUCCCGCCGGAGCGGUACCUAUUUAUCUACUUGCACUUUGAUGUGCUUUUGAACUGCUAGGUUGGCAGGAGCAGGGAACAAGCAACAGGAGCUCACCCUGUCACAGGGAUUCGAACUGCCGACCUUCUGAUCGGCAAGUCCUAGGCUCUGUGGUUUAACCCAUAGUGCCACCCGCGUCCCUAGCCAUUACUGGUACUUUUUUUCAAUAAUGGUUUUCUCACAAUCAGCUGGUACAUCAAUUUUAUUACAUAAAUAAAAAAAUAAUAAUCUUAAGCUCCGUUCCCGACACUUUCCCCAUCAGUUUGCAAUUACUGUAUUGCUACUUUUAAAAACGCUCAUGAAAAUAUUUAUGUGCACAUUUUAUCCUGGCUGGGGAACUGCAUUGCAAAAUUCAGAGAACUGCCAAUUUCAAAGGCUGGCCGUGUCUUGUAUUCUCAUAUUGUUUUGGAAAGUAUGAAUUAUGUAAGUUCACCUUUAAAUGUGAAUCGAAUCAAAUUUCUCCCCACCAGCUGCCAAUGAGCCGGUGCAGGAGUUUCCUAUGUCCUUGCCUGCUAGAAAGAACUUCUUAUUCUCUCUGCAGGUUGCCCUGGUGCAGCAGAACCAAAGGGAAAGGACAACUGUAGGCCAAAGAAACACGAGCGAACAACUGUCGUUCAAACAGAAGCACCAGCAAUGGAUGAUCAGCUUAGCCCGUCUUUAUAUUUUGCUGCUUUCAACAACAUCCCUCACCAAAGACCCCCCAAGUAAGCUUAGGAGUCGUGGAAUAAGCGGACAGGUCUUCUUGUGGCUCAGGAAUUGGUUAAGGAGCAGAGAGUAGGAAUCAAUGAACAGAUCUCUGAAUGGAGAAAUGCAAAAAGUGGAGUCCCUUAGGGACCUGCAUUUUUUAACAUUCUAGAGUUAGGGGUGAGAAGUUAGGUGAUUAAAAAAAAAAAAUUGCAUACCACCCUUCAUCCAAAGAUCACAGUGUGGUUCAAAACACAAACAUACAAAACGAGAACACAGAAUACACAAUAAAAUGAAAACCAAAACAAACCAGUAAUUCACCCUCUCCCACAAACACAUUUAAAGGGCCAUAAAAUGCUUAAUCUGCCUAAAACCUGGUUAUUGAGAAAGGUUUUCGUCUGAUGCCUAAAGAUCUGUAAUGAAGGUACCAGGCGAGCCUCGGAGGGGAGAGCAUUCCACAAACGAGGAGCCACCGCAGAAAAGGCCUGUUCUCAUGUUGUCACCCUCUGGGCCUCUCUUGGAGGAAACACACGUGCCCUUUAAUUAUUAUUUUAAUCCAAUUGCCUAGCUAAGAUAAAAUCGCCAAUAGGUGUACUGAGAGAAAAAAGAAGACCAAUAUAAAAGGACAAAUGUAGGAUAUGAAUGUAUGCUGCUACUGAUGAUACUAAAUUGUUCUAGGUUGUUAAAAGGGAUUGUAAAGAGUUCCGACAAGACCUCUCCAAAUUGGGGGAAUGGGAAGUGAAAUGGAAAAUGCAACAAAAUGUAAACAAGUGUAAAGUUUGCCGCUUCAUUCUGGCCUCUAUCUUCUCCCUUUCUCUUCCCUUGUGUAUGUUGUCUUUGUAAGGCUGACGGCAAGGCCCAUCUCUCUCUCUCUCUCUCUCUCUCUCUCUCUUUAAUUGAUGUGAGCCAUUUUGGGAGGCACUGAGUCACAAUCAACAAACUUCUACUCAGAGUAAGCCAAUUAGAAUUAAUGGACCUACAGUAGCCAUGGAGAAAGGUGGUAUAUGAAUGUAAUAAAUAAAUAAUGUCCAUUAAUUUCAGUGGGUCUUUUCUGAGUAGAACCUACAUCGGACACAACUCAAUAACUGCCUGAAAGCGAGAUAAAAUAUAUAAGAAAGAAAGAACUCAGGAACCAUUUUAAACUUCACCAUUGUAACAAAGCUGGAGGGAAAUGUGACUCACCCAUCUCAGGAGUUACACCUGCCUGCGUCAAACCCAGCUGAAACUCCAAGGCGUUUUACAGCACCUCAAGGAUAUUUGCUCAUUAUGAAUUCCUCCCUAUGAAACAUCUUGAAGUGAUUUCACAAUAAAGAAUAGGGUCAUAUGAGCAUCCACAAUAAAGUAUGUAUAAAGCAAUUAAAUAGAGAAAAAUAAUUAAAGCGAUUUACACUCAGUACAAAUACUGAUUGAGAUUAUUAUUAUUUAAAAAGCAACCCUCCACUUAGGCGACUUGUUAAAAAGGGAAGAAGACAGUGUUUGGAUGAUACUUAACAGGAAGCAGUUCCAAAGUGUAGGUACCACAUUGGGCAACAGAUAUUAGUCAUAAAAUAGAAAUGGAAGCAUGGGAACGAUUAUGGAAUACAGAUAUAAAAUUUACAGCAUGUUAUGGUUUAAGAGAAAAUUAUAUGAAAAUGUUAUAUAGAUGGUACCUAACACCUAGUAGAUUGGCAAAACUGUAUAAAUCAAAAUUGAAUAAGUGUUGGAAAUCUAAGGGACCUUUUCCCAUAUGUGUUGGUCUUGCAAUAAGGUUAAAGCCUACUGGGAAAUGAUAUAUAAUGAAUUGAAAAAGAUGUUUAAGAUAAAGAAGCAGAAGAAGCAGAAGCAUUUCUCUUGGGAAUUAGGGGAUCAGAACUACCUAAACAGUAUAGAAAUUUAUUUAUGUAUACGACCACAGCUGCAAGAAUGUUAUUUGCCCCAAAGUGGAAGGAUGAAUUGGUCCCGAUGAGAGAAGAAUGGUUACAGAAACUAAUGGAGUAUGCAGAAAUGGCGAAACUUACCGGAAGAAUAAGAAAUCAAGAUAUCAAACUUUUAAGAAAGGAAUGGAAAUGGUUUAUUGUGUAUUUACAAAUAAACUGUAAACGGAUCAAGACAUUGGCAGGAUUGUUGUAAAAACCUGCAGUUUCAAAAAUAUAUGAGAGAUAUAUAUGAGAACAGCUGAAUAUAAGAGUAAGUUAAUUUGGAGUAUGCAUGAAAGGAUGCAAAUAAAUGUAAAGAACCACAGAAAGAGGGGGAAGGGAG